UUUGUUUCGCUAUUCUUCAUCUUCUCUCAUACGUAACGGCGAUUAGGGUUUUUUCAUUCUUUUUCUCAUCCAUCCCUGAAAGAUCUCCAUCACCAAGGUACGAUUCCCUUUUCUAUCUAUUCAUCAUCUUGAUUCUUGAUGCUUAUUGUCGAUUCUUGAUUAUAUUUCUUUUUCUUCCAUUCAUCCGAUCGUGCAUUCUUAUUUUUUUUAUUCGUUUAUGUUUACUGUAUAUUGUAGUUUAGAUCUUAGUGUAUAUAAACCUUAUAACCCGCUUCCACACCCAAAAUUCAUAAGAUCAUCUAGGGUUCUGCCACUAUCGCGGUUCUUUCAUCCAAUACAUCUCCAUCAGUAAUUCAAUCCAGUCUUCAUCAUUCAAAAGAUUUGUUUUUUUUAAUAAUCUAUUUCUUUUGUAUGUCUAAGCGAUCAUUAACAACCAACAAUUUUGUACCUUCUUUAUUUCUUUUGAUUUCUCCCUUUCUUCUUCUGAUUCACUUCCACUUAAUCGUCCCCCAGCUUUGAUUUUCUUUCCGUUUUUUUUUUUCAUGUUCUUUGUUUCUAGGGUUAUCACAGAUCUAUUGUAUCUCUAAUAUAUUGUCUCAUCUUUGACGGUUUUAGGGUUUCCAGGAAUCAAUAGUUAUUUUUGUUAUUGCCAUUGUUUCACCUUCUACGAUUUUAUGAUUUUCAACAACUAGUGUUAUUCGCUGUCGCGCGUUGCGGGAUUACAAAAUGUUUUUCCGCAAGUAGGGGUUUCAUAUUAUAGUUAAUAUAUGGAUUAAAUGUUGCAUUACAUGGUGUAGUUGUUGUUUCAAAAGGUGUUUUAGUUUCUUCUACAUUAGGGUGUUACAAAAAACUUUAACUUCCUACUAUUAGUAAAAAAACAGCAACUUGUUUGUCAGUUUAGGGUCUGCAGCUGGAUUUAGGUGUUGAUCUUCUAGUUGAUGGCUAUGUGACCCUUGUUCCUUUUAUGAGUGGUGUUCUUUGUUACCUGCAAUUAUUAUAUAUUUUAUAGUUGGCGAAUGUUUUUCAGUAUGGUUAUGUGUUAUUGUUUGUUGAAUUUGAAUACCUUCGGUUUGGAGAAUAGGCCUUUUGGCAGAUGUUGUGAUUUGGUUUCUUGGUGCGGGUGUUGUUGGUUGUGGGGUUGUUGACGUCGGUGUGUUGUUGCUGUCAAUGGUUGUUUCCGUUUGUUCUUUGAGCGAAAGAAGUGGGGUUUCUUUGUUCAACAUUUCCUCGCAUGGUGUUCCUAGCAAUUGAUAAGCAGGACGAUCAAAUAUUGUUGCGGUGAUGUUGCCUGUGUUGUCUGUGUGGUGGCUCGAAUGCGAUACCUGAGUACAAUUUUGGUGGAAAGGUGAUGUGUAAAAGAGAAGUUGUGCUUUGUUUAUAAAGUUAGAAAGUAUUUGUUGGUUAUUGACUUACAGGUGAUUUGCUGUGUUAUGGUUUCCAUCACGUGUGCAGAAGCAUUGUUCAACAGUUUGCAAUCAUCCCUAGAUAACAAACUUAAAGAGCAUAUUAGUUAGGUAACACUAUUUGUUAAUGAAAAUUGAAAUCAAUUAGUUUCCACACAUUUAUACUGUUUUCUUUUCUUUUUUUCUUAUUGGUUAACUCGGCAGAGACCAAAAUGUUUAA